GAUGAGAGCUGUCGGGCUGACUCCUUGCAACUUCCAUCUCACAGUAAUUAAAAACUAGCUUCUUUAGCAGUUUGAACUUCAUUUUGCAGCGACUUGGAAAUAGCACAUGUGGCUGAAAGAAUGUACGAGUCACCUGUGUGGCUUGCGGCAAGAAAAAGGUGUGAAAAGCAAGUGAGGGAGUUAAUCACCCAGAGUGAAGGCUCUGGAGCUGUGGCAUAGGGCUGCCUGCCUUGUGCAUCAUAUCACUCUGCUGGAAGAAAGAAUGUUAAACUACAGAGCUGAUGUCACCUCCUAAUUGCAGCUGAAGCCCCUACUUAACAGGUCAAAGCUGCGGCAAACACGAAUAGAAGAACGAGGAAGGAAUGCUAAAACAGUUCGGGAAGCCCAUGUGGAACAUGACCACUAGAGACAGGAGAAGAGGACAAGGUAUAAUUACACGGCGCCAACCAGUGAAACUACUUGUUAAAGGCUUGUAUGAUAACUCUGAAGCUGCUCCUUAUGCCUGUGUCCUUCUACAGAGAUGCUGGUGAGGGAAUGCUGGUCCCCAACUCUGUCCUUUUAGAAGCCAUCAACUUCAAGGCAACUGCUCAGCAUCCAACUGGGCAGUUAUUAUAGUAGAACUAAGCUCCAUGUCGUUUCAUAACAAGAUAGAAACACCUUUAUUGCUUCUGCUGAUUUUCAAGCAAUAAAUAGAGGUUCUACAAGAUUGUAACAGAGAAGAGCAAUAUAGAUGUAGAUAAAAGACCUCUUUGUCACCUUUGCCAGCUGGGAUGCUCUCCAGGACAGUCGACAGACAACUUUAGGAACUACUUACUCUUCAGCACAAACAGCGAAGGAAUAUUACACACAUCGUGGAGACUUCAAAAUAGGCAGUGGAGAAGAUCUCAAUUCUUCUCCACACAGAGAAUUAGUAGAUGUUUUAGGUGAGGAGUGUGACAGUGACCCUGAGAUGAUCAUUACAUGCUAUAACCAGGUAUUGAUAUGUCAUGUUUUACCCCAAUAAUGUGUACAAUUAUUAUAUAUCCAAUUAAAAAUAAAAAUAUGUUUAAAGGAG